rnacentral:rRNA from 1 species
UGGGGAAUUUUGCGCAAUGGGGGAAACCCUGACGCAGCAACGCCGCGUGGAGGAUGAAAUAUCUUGGUAUGUAAACUCCUUUCGAUAGGGAAGAUAAUGACGGUACCGAGAGAAGAAGCCCCGGCUAACUUCGUGCCAGCAGCCGCGGUAAUACGAGGGGGGCAAGCGUUGUUCGGAAUUAUUGGGCGUAAAGGGCGCGUAGGCGGUUUGACAAGUUUCAUGUGAAAUCUAUGGGCUCAACCCAUAGCCUGCAUGGAAAACUGUCGGGCUUGAGGAUGGGAGAGGUGAGUGGAAUUUCCGGUGUAGCGGUGAAAUGCGUAGAUAUCGGAAGGAACACCUGAGGCGAAAGCGGCUCACUGGACCAUAACUGACGCUGAGGCGCGAAAGCUAGGGGAGCAAACAGGAUUAGAUACCCCGGUAGUCC